ACUUUCCUCUUCUCCCGGACCGGAGGAGCCGCUCUUUCCACGCGGUGCAUUCUGCGGACCGAGGUCGAGCCCGCUGCUGCCGCCAUCACCUGAAAGAAGCGAGAAGAGGCCGCGACCGGGGAGAAAACGCGGAGUCGCCACUGGAGAGAAGUCGACUCCCUAGCAGCAGCAGCCACCGCCAGAGAGGCCCGCCCACCCAUUCGCCCGUCCCCCUGCCCCGUUCACAAUGCAGCCUGCUUCUGCAAAGUGGUACGAUCGAAGGGACUAUGUCUUCAUUGAAUUUUGUGUUGAAGACAGUAAGGAUGUUAAUGUAAAUUUUGAAAAGUCCAAACUUACAUUCAGUUGUCUCGGAGGAAGUGAUAAUUUUAAGCAUUUAAAUGAAAUUGAUCUUUUUCACUGUAUUGAUCCAAAUGAUUCCAAGCAUAAAAGAACGGACAGAUCAAUUUUAUGUUGUUUACGAAAAGGAGAAUCUGGCCAGUCAUGGCCAAGGUUAACAAAAGAAAGGGCAAAGCUUAAUUGGCUUAGUGUCGACUUCAAUAAUUGGAAAGACUGGGAAGAUGAUUCAGAUGAAGACAUGUCUAAUUUUGAUCAUUUCUCUGAGAUGAUGAACAACAUGGGUGGUGAUGAGGAUGUAGAUUUACCAGUAGAUGGAGCAGAUGAUGAUUCACAAGACAGUGAUGAUGAAAAAAUGCCAGAUCUGGAGUAAGGAGUAUUGUCAUCACUUGGAUUUUGAGAAAGAAAAAUAACUUCUCUGCAAGAUUUCAUAAUUGAGAGAAUUCCUGAGUUGAUAGCUCUAAAGGCAGAUGCUGUAUUUCCCCACUUUAACCCAUUUUUCAACCUGUUUGUUUUUUAAAAGGCUUCACUAAGGGUUGAUAUGUACCAUUGUAUGGGGCAAUUUUAAGUCAACUAAGGCAAUAACCUUAUACAUGAACAUUUCCCAGACUUUCAUGAAGCUGCUGAGGUCCUAGGCAAUUGAUGCAGCUGUUGUGAUAAAUAGAAACAUCUCACCUAAGUCUCCUUUUCUUCAUAACAUAGAUACUGACAUGAUAGGAAGCUCUCAGCUUAGGGAAAGAGAACUAAAUUUUAGAUUAUAGAACAUGGAUUCAAAAGUGGCUGGAACAAAUUGGCUGAUACCUUACUGGUAACCUGCUGUUCUCCUGGUGUUCUUCAGGAUUGUUCCACUAAAAUUUAUUUUUCAAAAAAUUUACUUCACAUUAUUCUAUGUAAGUGAUCACUUGUCAGUGUUCCAGGUGUAUCUUAGCUAAAACUAGAGAAUGCCCUAACUUAGAUGGUUUUUGAAGCCUAUACAUUUGGUAUUGUUUGACCCUUAAGCUUUUACAUCUCUUAGCAUGGAGGACGAAGAAAGCUGUACAUGUUGCUUGAGAGUCUGUACAUUUAGACCAGAUUUGUAUUUGCACUGUCAAGUAUGGCAAAUGAGUGAAAAAUGUUUAAUACACUAUUGGAUUUUUUAUUUCUUUUUUUGAUUCAGCUUAUACCAGAGCUGAAAACCUCAAUUUAUGUUCAUGAUAGUGGGGAUUUUUUUAAAUGUCUACAUUCUUUCUAAUAAACUGUUGGAAGACUUAAAAA